rnacentral:rRNA from 1 species
GAAUCUAGCUUCAGGUCUGGGACAACCACUGGAAACGGUGGCUAAUACCGGAUGUGCCGGAAGGUGAAAGGCUUGCUGCCUGAAGAUGAGCUCGCGUCUGAUUAGCUAGUUGGUGGGGUAAAAGCCUACCAAGGCGACGAUCAGUAGCUGGUCUGAGAGGAUGACUAGCCACACUGGGACUGAGACACGGCCCAGACUCCUACGGGAGGCAGCAGUGGGGAAUUUUCCGCAAUGGGCGAAAGCCUGACGGAGCAAUACCGCGUGAGGGAGGAAGGCUCUUGGGUUGUAAACCUCUUUUCUCAGGGAAGAACACAAUGACGGUACCUGAGGAAUCAGCAUCGGCUAACUCCGUGCCAGCAGCCGCGGUAAUACGGAGGAUGCAAGCGUUAUCCGGAAUGAUUGGGCGUAAAGCGUCCGCAGGUGGCUGUGUAAGUCUGCUGUCAAAGAGCGAAGCUCAACUUCGUAAAGGCAGUGGAAACUACACGGCUAGAGUGCGUUCGGGGCAGAGGGAAUUCCUGGUGUAGCGGUGAAAUGCGUAGAGAUCAGGAAGAACACCGGUGGCGAAGGCGCUCUGCUAGGCCGCAACUGACACUGAGGGACGAAAGCUAGGGGAGCGA